rnacentral:rRNA from 1 species
GGGGGAUAACACCUGGAAACAGGUGCUAAGACCGCAUAAGCGCACAGACCCGCAUGGGACAGUGUGAAAAACUCCGGUGGUACAAGAUGGAUCCGCGUCUGAUUAGCCAGUUGGCGGGGUAACGGCCCACCAAAGCGACGAUCAGUAGCCGGCCUGAGAGGGUGAACGGCCACAUUGGGACUGAGACACGGCCCAAACUCCUACGGGAGGCAGCAGUGGGGAAUAUUGCACAAUGGGGGAAACCCUGAUGCAGCAACGCCGCGUGAGUGAAGAAGUAAUUCGUUAUGUAAAGCUCUAUCAGCAGGGAAGAAAAUGACGGUACCUGAGUAAGCAGCCCCGGCUAACUACGUGCCAGCAGCCGCGGUAAUACGUAGGGGGCAAGCGUUAUCCGGAUUUACUGGGUGUAAAGGGAGCGUAGACGGUAAAGCAAGUCUGAAGUGAAAUGCCAGUGCUCAACACUGGAACUGCUUUGGAAACUGUUUGGCUGGAGUGCAGGAGAGGUAAGUGGAAUUCCUAGUGUAGCGGUGAAAUGCGUAGAUAUUAGGAGGAACACCAGUGGCGAAGGCGGCUUACUGGACUGUAACUGACGUUGAGGCUCGAAAGCGUGGGGAGCAAACAGGAUUAGAUACCCUGGUAGUCCACGCGGUAAAC